CGGAAGGGGAGAGCCGCAGGCUGCACCCCCCCCCCCCCCCCGAGCCCUGAUAAGGCUUGACGUGGGAUUCUGGACACUUGAGUCGCCACUGGUGCUUCCUGGGAGUGGGUGUAGGCGUCCCCCGGAGAGGGACUGGUCCUCCAGGCCCCGUGGAGGGGUUGCGUGGAGUUCUGAUGGCAGCCCAGAGCAGCCAGCAGGAGUGGCAGGGGGCCUCGCUUACCCUGAGAAGUGAGGCUUGGCGCUCCAGCCGGCGUUCACACCCCCCAGGGGCCGGCCCGCGCAGUUUCAAAGAAACUGGUACAGAAGGGCACAGUGUAAAACUACCGCCCCAAACCGGCCUUGGAGAGAACCAGCCUGCUCAGCGCUCUCUUCACGGAGCUGCUGUGGACACAGGUGCACGCAUAUUCACCUGUCUCUGUUAUGCUGGGUCUUGCAUACUUGGCGACCACGUUUUGGGGCGUCCGUGGAUUGGACUGCCGACUCAGCCAUUUCCCUUUUCUUGUAAGAACACGUGUUUUCCUCUGGGAACCGUACCCACCCACCCCCCAGCAGUGGCCCUGAGAACCUGAACCUAGUGGCACCAGGGCCAAGAGCUGCUCCUCUGGCUACGGGAAAAGCGGCAGGUUAUGGCGCACACGCUGAUUUAGGCCGGUGUCCUGGGUUUUGGCGCUUUCUUCCAUUGUCCCAAUGCAUGAGCGGAGUUAGUUUGGUUGUCUGCCACCUGAGAGCCCUGACUGAAGCUGUGAGCCGUUGUGGCUGGUUCCCUCCAAGGCUCGGCCACACGAUUCUAAGUCCAGGGAGCGAGGUUUCGCUCUUUUUCGGUUAGAUUUGCUUCGCCUGCGACCACACACAUCCUUGAUCACCAAGAGAGAGCGCGUGGAAGCUUGCCGGUGGAUUAGCAAACCUGUGGCUUCUAUAGUGAAGAUUUAAAACAGUCCAAGAGCAGAUCCCAUCAACAUCACGUCCCUGUGGGGAAGUCUCUGUAGGAUGGCUUCAGACAGCCUCAGCUGUCAUUUUGCAGACGCUGUUAGGCUUAAAAUAGCUACUCAGUUUCUCCAAAGGCACCAAGCAAGACUGAGUGGAAAAGAAGAAACAGGUGUAUAUCAUUGGAUGGACAGGCCAGAUUACAGGAGCGGCAGGAAGGGGCAGGGUGUAAUUAUCUCUCAUCUGAAAAAGCCUCUGUAUGCACCCAAGGACCCAAGAGGGAACCCAAAGCUGCCAUUAGGUGACCACAGGUUCCUGAGGGAAUACCUCGGCUGUGGGGGUCAUGCUCUCCGAGUGGCAGACCAAAGCAGCCCCUAAUGGGAGGGUAGAAGUCAAAACACCCUUGUUUUCUAUCCUGGUGCUCUCAUUAGGAGGGGGAAAAAAAAAAGCAAUGUAUCUUUGGACAGCUGAUUCACUCUCUCUGGUUCUGAGUCAUCCGUGAGAUUUAAGGAGUGACCCAAAUCUAAAGUAUUUUUCCUAGUUUUAAAAAUUUCUGAUUUCUUGUGAAUAGGCAAGCUAUUCCAGCUACUUUCAAUCCGUCCACUCCUCUGUUUCAUUAUGGUUAUUAAUUUUUAAUCAAAGAAUUUCUUUAGUUGGACUUUAAAAGACAUUGGAGGCAUUUUAUAUGUAAAUAAAAUUCAGUAUACAUUUGUUUUACCGACAUUUCUUGAACACAUUUAUGCUCUAAGGGGUAGUAUGCCUAAUGAUGAUUUACACACAUGAGCACUAAAAUUAUAGAGCUGAAUGAGCUUGGUCAUGGUUUUUUCAAAUUUGUUUGAACAGCCUUACAAAUGUCUUAUCAGAGUAUAAAUAGCUCCCUACAACAGUAAUGAUGUGCCACAUUUUCUGUUAAUCACAAAUACUCAGUGAGAAAACACAUAACCCUUUGUCACACAUCCUAAUGAAAAGCUCACUUGAUUUUCUCUCUCUUCCAUUUCCUCAGAACUCUCUCUGGCCAAGACCCAGGCAGCUGGGAAGCAACCAUGUGGCUACCACAUUGGGGACAACAGAAAGUGUUUGCAAGCCCUGUGGGAGACAAUCCGGUCACACGUUGUGCUCUCGGGUCGAUGGCAAAACUGUUCUUCAGAAAGAUGGAGAGACCAAGUUCCUCCCCAGUACUGCAAUCCUAGCAACAGUGGGGAAGCAGCUCCAGCCUUCAGCCUGGAUCUGACCCAAGGCAGAGUCUUCUCUGGGCCAUGAGGCAUUGUUUUUGUGGCAACCUUGUAGUAUAGAGAGAUGGAAUGAUGCUUUUUUUUUUUUUUUUGAGGUUCUAGCCCAUGGAUAGCAAAUCUUUAAACUACAAUAUGUGGCCUGUCUUCGCCAAGAAUGAACAUGUCAUAAUAUUGUGCUCCUAGCAGUUGCUAGAUGCAUAUAUAUUUGAGGGCUGUUUCAUCUGAGUGGGAAGCGGAGUUAUGCAGCAAGUCCAGAGUGCAAAGCAGGACCUCUGAAUGGCCGAAGCUGGAGCAGCGAUGUCAUAGAAGACUCGGUUUGAGCACCAAUUCCUUGGCUGUGGGCUCGGGACGUUUGCACCGAUCUUUGGUAGAGACUGAUGCUUAGGUGCCAUUUGGUAGCCUGAAUACAUGGCGGAGAACAGCAUGUGGAUGGUGGAAAGUUAGAGGUGGGGAGGUGAGAACAGAGAAAGUACAGCAUCUCUCGCAAGAGAAGUGAGAGUCGAAUGAAGAUACUGAACACACUUUCAGAAGCGACUCAGAAGAGAAUUUGAGUGAACAUAUGAACCCGAAGUCAUUUUUCUCAGAGUAGAGGGGAGCAGGGGAGUGAAUAAGCCUUAAAGGUACCAGUGUGCUUCUGUUCCUCCCUGCCCACUUUGGCUUCUGCCACGUGCUACUUCCAGGUGUUCUCCUAAAUAUAACAAGUAGACAGUUGGUACACACUUGCCUGUGUGUCAGAAAGGAACCGACAAAAAAAAAUUUGUAAACACACUGGUUAGAACAAUUUCAGAAAUAAUAAUAUUUUAGUAUAUUGGGUUUGAGUAUGCAUCUUCUUCGUCCACGUUGGAAAUAGAAGAGUGGAAUUUAGCUCCAAGAAUGGGACAGUGUUUUGACCCAUAUUUAAUUGUGAUUAAGAACAAACUGGCGCCUGGGAAGGUUAAGCAGCAGGGUCCGUUAGAAGUUGGCAGAACUCCACCGUGAAACCAGGUCUAUCCUGUUAGAAACCACUGUGUCAAAGUCUUGCUUAUGGAGGAGAAAGAAGGUGAGCCUUCUUUUCUUUCUUUGAUUACUGGAAAAAAUAAGCUGAGUGACUCACUAAAGAUGACAAGGAAAUUUGGGACAGGCCAAUUAAAGUCUGGGCUAGCAAGGAGGGUUCACCGAGUGCCUGUGGGUAGAUGGCUUUGGGGUAAGUGUGAUUGAUAAGUUAGCUGGGAAGAUGACAAGUCACAGAAAUAAUAUGGGUAAGGCAAACAGAUGGACUGUCUUUGGCUGUUAACUUCUGAUGGUACAAUUUUGGAUGAAUCACUUAACAAUUCUCCUACUCAAGUUUCUCCACCAAAAACAGAAUGAAAACUAUCUUGCAGUGUCGUUGCAGAGACAAAAUGUUUGUAAGCAUCUGGCAGAAAAACAUGCUGGUGUUAGAUGAUGGUAGCCGCGGUCACCAGUUGGUACCCAAGCCUUGGAAUGAAUUUCCAAGUUGACGAAGACUAUAGACACACACAAUGUGCAGAGAAUCUUUUGCCAUGAACAUGGAAAAAGGAUACUCUUUGCUGCUACAGUGCCAAUUUUCUUAGUUUAAGGGAGGCAGGUUUUUAAGUAAAUCAAUGUUACAUAGAUAUAGCUUAUAUAAAAUGAGAUGCAUGGCCUUUGAAGUUGUAGUCUGAUGGAUUCUAAGAAAUGUGCCUGCCUUUGUAAACAGUACCACCAAUAAGAAACAGAAUAGUCCCCCCAGAAUUCCAAGUCCACACACGGUUCUGCCAAGCCCCCUGAAGCCCACUGUCUCCUUGCCCCCAGGUAACCAUGGUGUUGACUGUCUCAUGUCUGGCCUGCUGCAGACCUCCACCUAAUGGGCUACAUGCAGUAGACCUGUUUUCACAUCUGUUCUGCUCAGCACUGUGUCUGCAAGAUUCAUCCAUGCCAUUGCUCAAUCAGUGGUCCUUUGAUUUUUCUUGAUUGGUAUUUCAUGCUAUGAACAUACUAUGAUGUGUUUAUUUGUUCAUGUGGCAUUUUUUGGCUUCAUUUUGUUUAUUUUCCUGGAUUGGGGCUAUUAUAUAUUUAGCUGCUGUGAGCGUUCAUCUAGAAGUUACUCUGUGGAUAUGUUUUCAUUUCUUCCUGGUAAAUAGAGGUAGAACUCCUGCAACUUUUGGGUAGGACCAAGUACAGUCUUUAGGAGAAACUCUUACAUAGUGUGAGAAGUAGUUGUGUCUUGUUUACAUCUGCGUCAGCCCCAUCCAGAGUUCCAGCUGUUACAGGUCCUUGCCAAACCCUGGCAUUCCAGUGUUUUCAGUGCUAACCCUUGGGUGGAAAGUGCUAUCUUACUGUCAUUUUAAUUUGCAUUUCUUUAAUGCUAAUGUCUGAGACAUUUUUACCAUGUGUUCCACAUCUGUGAAAUAUCUGUUUGAAUCUUUUGCCCAGUGUUUAUUUAUGUUUGUAUUGAGGUAAAAGAGAUUUCUAUGCAUUAUGGAUACAAGACUUACAUGAGACAUGUUUUAAGAAUAUUUUUUUUCAAAUUUGUGGAUUUACCUUUUUCAUUUUUCUUGGUGAUGUCUUUUGAAGAACAAAAGUUUAUGUUUUUGAUAAAAACCCAAUUUAUGACUGCAUUUUCCUUUCUGGCUAGUCGUUUUGCAUCACAAAUUGUUUUUCUGUAGCUCAAUAGAAAGAUUUUCUCCUGGAAACUUUCCAGUUACAGCUUAAUGUUCCAAACUACUUUUGUGUGGGCUGUAAAGUACAAGUUCAGGUUUACUUUUCUUGUUCCCCACAUGAAUAUGUAGUUGAUCCAGCAGUGUUUGCUGGAAAGAGUGUUCUUUCUCAAAGAUGUGCUUGACACUUUAAUAAAACCAGGGGCAGGCAUUUGACGAAGUCGGUAUGAUUCCUCUUGGGACUUGUACAUCCCAGAGCAAAAAGUGCCUGAGUUCAAGUCCUGACUCCGCUUCAGAUCCAGCUUCCCGCUAAUGCCCAUCCUGGGAGGCAGCAGGUGAUGGCUUAAGUACUUGGGUCCCUGCCACCCACAUGGGAGAUCUGGAGUGAGUUCUAGGUCUGUGGCUUCAGCCCACCCCAGCUCUGACGGAUAUGGGUGUUUGCAGAGCGAAACAAUGGACAGGAAAUAUCUCCCUCCCCACAGGUCAAUUUUUUUUCAAGUAAAUAAAUAAAUAUUCUUAAAUGUUUUGAAAAUCCAUUUACCUUGUAUGUGUGGGUCUAUUUCUGCAUAUUCUUUUCUGCUCUAUUGGUUUUUAUUGGCCAGUUCCACAUUGUUGGUGAUUGUAGCUCUAUAGCAAGUCUUGAAAUCAGGUCAUGAAAGUCUUCCAACUUUUUAUUUUUUCCAGAAGCAUUCUGGUUUGGGUCCUUUGCCUUUCUGUAUACGUAUUAGAAUCAGCCUGCAGUUUCUUUCUGAAAAUGCUUGGAGUUCUGACAGGGGCUGUGAAUGCAUAUAUCAAUUUAGAGACAAUUUAUGUUUUAAUCAUAUGAACAACACAGUUCACGAGCGUUGUAUGCCACUCUACUUGUUCAGGUCAUCUUUAACUUCUCUCAAGGAUGUUUUGUAGUGUUCAGUAUAGAAAGCUUCUCUAUUUUUGUUAAGUUUAUUCCUAAGCAAUUUAAAGUUACUGUAAAUGGUAUUAUUUAAAUUUAAUCUUUUUAUUGUUUCUUGCUAGUUUACAGAAAUAUAACUGAUUUAUAGAUACUCAGUUUACAUAAUCUUAAGGAUUUAUUUUAUUUAAUUGAAAGGCAGAGGGAGGGAGAGACAGAGAGAGCGAUUUGCUGGUUUACCCCAGCAAUGGCCGCAAAAGCCGGGUCUAGGCCAGGUGGAAGCCGGCAGCCAGGAACUGCACGCUGGUCUCCUGCAUGGGUGGCAGGGCCCCAAGUUCUUGGUCUUCCAUAUGGGUGGCAGGGGCCCAAAUUCUUAAGUCUGGGCAGCCGGGACUGGAAACAGCACUCAAAUACAGAUGCCAGAGUUGCAGCGUGAGCCUUAACCCAUUGCGCCACGCUGGCCCCUGUAGAUGCUCUUAAAGGCUUUUCUGUGGUGGCGUGGUGUUGUGGCACAGCAGGUUAAGCCACUGACUGUGGUGAGGGAACCCAAUAUCACAGGACUGGUUCAGUGCCCCCACCCACACACACCCCUGCUGUUCCACUUCUGAACCAGCUCCCUGCUAAUAUGCUCGGGAAAGCCGUGGGGAUGACCCGAGUGUUUGGGCGCUUGUCACUUGUAUGGGAGACCCAGGUGCAGUUCCUGGCUUUUGGUUUUGACCUGGCCCCGACCUGAAUGCUGUGGCUAUUUGGAGAGUGAACCAGCAGAUGGAAGAUCUCUCUCUCUCUCGCUCUCUCACUCUGUCUCAUUCUCUCACUCUGCCUUUCAAAGAAAUCUUUUUUUUUUUUUUUUAAGAUUUUCAUUUAUUUAUUUGAGAGGCAGAGUUACAGACAGUGAGAGGGAAAGAAAAGAGAGAAAGGUCUUCCUUCCAUUGGUUCACUCCCUAGAUGGCCCAGAGCUGGGCCAAUCCGAAGCCAGGAGCCAGGAGCUUCUUCCUGCUCUCCCAUGCGGGUGCAGGGCCCAAGCACUUGGGCCAUCCUCCACUGCCUUCUCAGGCCUCAGCAGAGAGCUGGAGUGGAAGAAGGGCAGCGCGACUAGAACAGGUGCCCACAUGGGAUGCCAGCACCACAGGUGGAGGGUUAGCCAAGUGAGCCACGGCGCCUGACCCCAGAUAUCUUUUUAAAAACUUUUCUUGGGGGACAGGUAUUUGGCACAGAAAGUAAGCUGUUUCUUGGAAUGCCCACUUCCACUCAGGAGUGUCUGGUUUGAACCCUAGCUCCUGGGCUUCAGAUCCACCUCCCUGCUAAGGCACCGCCUGGGAGGCUGCAGGUGAUAGUUCAAGUACUCCAGUCUCUGCCACCCUUGAGGGAGACUCACGUGGAGUUACCCUGGCUCCUAGCUUUGCCCUGGCUCAGCACUGGCUGCAGGUAUCGGGGGAGUGAAGCAGCAGUUGGAAGAUGUCGCUUUCUUUUUCAAACAAAAUGAAAAUAAAUUUAAAAACAACUUUUCUUCAUUAGUAGUUAAGAAGACCAAUAAUAAGAGACUGCAAAAGAGACCUAGUGGAUGUAAAUAAGAGAAGACCAAGAGUUACAAAGAAAGAUUCUGUACCAAGAAUUGUAGAAGAAAGUAAUGAAAGAGCAGCUCCGGGCCGGCGCUGCGGCUCACUAGGCUAAUCCUCCACCUUGCGGCGCCGGCACACCGGGUUCUAGUCCCGGUCGGGGCGCCGGAUUCUGUCCCGGUUGCCCCUCUUCCAGGCCAGCUCUCUGCUGUGGCCAGGGAGUGCAGUGGAGGACGGCCCAGGUGCUUGGGCCCUGCACCCCAUGGGAGACCAGGAAAAGCACCUGGCUCCUGGCUCCUGCCAUCAGAUCAGCGCGGUGCGCCGGCUGCAGCGCGCCGGCGGCGGCGGCCAUUGGAGGGUGAACCAACGGCAAAGGAAGACCUUUCUCUCUGUCUCUCUCUCUCACUGUCCACUCUGCCUGUCAAAAAAAAAAAAAAAAAAAAAAAAAACAG